rnacentral:rRNA from 1 species
CGCCAAUGGAUGAGCCUGCACUUGAUUAGUUUGUUGGUGGGGUAAUGGCCUACCAAGACAAUGAUCAAUAGCUGAUUUGAGAGGAUGAUCAGCCACAUUGGGACUGAGACACGGCCCAAACUCCUACGGGAGGCAGCAGUAGGGAAUCUUGCACAAUGGGGGAAACCCUGAUGCAGCGAUGCCGCGUGAGUGAAGAAGGCCUUUGGGUUGUAAAGCUCUUGCGU